rnacentral:rRNA from 1 species
GGUUGAUCCUGCCAGUCAUAUAUGCUUGUCUUAAAGAUUAAGCCAUGCAUGUCUAAGUAUAAACACUUGUACUGUGAAACUGCGAAUGGCUCAUUACACCAGUUAUAAUUUACUCAACGAUGCUUCUACAUGGAUAACCGUGGGAAACCAGAGCUAAUACAUGCGCAGGCGGGCAGCAAUGCCCCGUAUUUAUUAGGUACAGACCAACACACGUUGCGUUGAUUCACAGUAACUGCACGGAUCGCACGGCCUCGCGCCGGCGACAGGUUGACCAAAUUUCUGCCCUAUCAA